GGGGCUGAAAGGAUUUCUACAUUUUGAUAUUUUAAUUACGUUUUAUUUGACUCAUUAUAUUUAUUAAUUUUUCAUAUAUUUAAUAGAUUUAUUUAUUAAUCAUAUUAAAAAUGGAAAAUUACUAAUAAUUAUAGCUUAAUUGCAAAACACAAUAUUAUAUCUUUUUCUAAAAAUUUAGUAAUUGUAUAAAUUAUUAGAAUCUUAAAUUGUAUGUUCUUGAUUCAAUUUAUUUACUUAUUUAUAGAAUGCUCUAAUUGUAAAGUGUAAUAUUAACUUUACUUAUUAUUGUCUUUGCAAUUAGGAAAGUAUGAAAGAUCUUAAUUUAAAAGUUUAGUAAAAAUUUUCUAGUUAAUUUUAGUUAAAUAAUAUAAACUUAAUUUUUAUAUUAAUAUGGACGUGGGUUCAAAUCCCACCAGUUCCA
rnacentral:tmRNA from 1 species